rnacentral:rRNA from 1 species
UUGAACGCUGGCGGCAUGCCUUACACAUGCAAGUCGAACGGCAGCACGGGGGCAACCCUGGUGGCGAGUGGCGAACGGGUGAGUAAUGUAUCGGAACGUGCCCAAUAGUGGGGGAUAGCUCGGCGAAAGCCGGAUUAAUACCGCAUACGCACUAAGGUGGAAAGUGGGGGAUCGCAAGACCUCAUGCUAUUGGAGCGGCCGAUAUCUGAUUAGCUAGUUGGUGGGGUAAAAGCCUACCAAGGCGACGAUCAGUAACUGGUCUGAGAGGACGACCAGUCACACUGGGACUGAGACACGGCCCAGACUCCUACGGGAGGCAGCAGUGGGGAAUUUUGGACAAUGGGCGCAAGCCUGAUCCAGCAAUGCCGCGUGUGUGAAGAAGGCCUUCGGGUUGUAAAGCACUUUUGUUCGGAAAGAAAUCGCUCUGGCUAAUACCUGGAGUGGAUGACGGUACCGGAAGAAUAAGCACCGGCUAACUACGU